GGCCGAGUGAGAUCUUCGAGGCGCCUGGACGGGAUCCUUCGCCUUUUAAGCGACUGGCCGUUGGUUCGAAUCCAACUUCCGCCU
rnacentral:tRNA from 1 species